AUGCAAGUCGAGCGGGGGAAGGUAGCUUGCUACUGGACCUAGCGGCGGACGGGUGAGUAAUGCUUAGGAAUCUGCCUAUUAGUGGGGGACAACAUCUCGAAAGGGAUGCUAAUACCGCAUACGUCCUACGGGAGAAAGCAGGGGAUCUUCGGACCUUGCGCUAAUAGAUGAGCCUAAGUCGGAUUAGCUAGUUGGUGGGGUAAAGGCCUACCAAGGCGACGAUCUGUAGCGGGUCUGAGAGGAUGAUCCGCCACACUGGGACUGAGACACGGCCCAGACUCCUACGGGAGGCAGCAGUGGGGAAUAUUGGACAAUGGGGGGAACCCUGAUCCAGCCAUGCCGCGUGUGUGAAGAAGGCCUUAUGGUUGUAAAGCACUUUAAGCGAGGAGGAGGCUACUUUAGUUAAUACCUAGAGAUAGUGGACGUUACUCGCAGAAUAAGCACCGGCUAACUCUGUGCCAGCAGCCGCGGUAAUACAGAGGGUGCGAGCGUUAAUCGGAUUUACUGGGCGUAAAGCGUGCGUAGGCGGCUUAUUAAGUCGGAUGUGAAAUCCCCGAGCUUAACUUGG
rnacentral:rRNA from 1 species